UAUGCACGCUGGCGGCGUGCUUAACACAUGCAAGUCGAACGAGAAAUGUAGACGGAAACCUUCGGGCGGAAGCCUUCAUUUCGAGUGGCGGACGGGUGAGUAACGCGUGGGUAACCUGCCUCAUACAGGGGGAUAACAGUUGGAAACGACUGUUAAUACCGCAUAAGACCACAGCAUCGCAUGAUGCGGGGGUAAAAACUCCGGUGGUAUGAGAUGGACCCGCGUUCGAUUAGCCAGUUGGCGGGGUAACGGCCCACCAAAGCGACGAUCGAUAGCCGAUCUGAGAGGAUGACCGGCCACAUUGGGACUGAGACACGGCCCAAACUCCUACGGGAGGCAGCAGUGGGGAAUAUUGCACAAUGGGGGAAACCCUGAUGCAGCGACGCCGCGUGAGUGAAGAAGUACUUCGGUAUGUAAAGCUCUAUCAGCAGGGAAGAAAAUGACGGUACCUGAGUAAGAAGCCCCGGCUAACUACGUG
rnacentral:rRNA from 1 species